rnacentral:lncRNA from 1 species
CUCCCAUUUCAUGAAGUUAAUUUUUUGUAAAGCUCCUUUCAGAGUGAUGCAAAUUGCGUUUCUGAGGUUUAAAAAUAUAAAAAUUCCUGGGGGACAGAACCCCCCCCCCCCUAGGUGCCUCGCGCAUUCGCCGCUCGCAAAACUAGAUUGUACAUCCGAAAACUUUGACUAAUGUACGAAAAAUCCUGGAUCCGCCCCUGUCUCGAACCACA